GACGUAGGAUGCGAGCGUUGUCCGGAAUUAUUGGGCGUAAAGCGUACGUAGGCGGUCAUCUAAGUCUGGGUAAGACAGCUCACUGGAGUGCCUGGAUACUGGGUGACUGGAGGACGGCAGAGGAAAGUGGAAUUCCCAGUGUAGCGGUGAAAUGCGUAGAUAUUGGGAGGAACACCAGUGGCGAAAGCGACUUUCUGGGCCGUUCCUGACGCUGAGGUACGAAAGCCAGGGGAGCAAACGGGAUUAGAUACCCUUGUAGU
rnacentral:rRNA from 1 species